AAAGGUAAUAACAAAGAAAGGGGUCUCCCUACUGUUUCACGUGAAACAUAAGUUGGAAGGGAAAAAGGGGAUUGAAAUCCCUAAUCCCUCGACCCUCUCUUCUCUUUCAAAGCAGUAGCCAAGGAGGUGGCGCGAUAAAGGACGGAGGUUGCGGACCUUCAAUUCCGGUGAGUACCGAGCACCGUAGAGAGAAGGUUGUGGUCUUCAUCCUUAUUUAUUCUACAACAUGACUCCGGCUGUGGAGUACCGGUGGUGGCCAAGGACCGAGCCCAAUCAUCGUAGGAUUCACGGUCAAGGGUAAACCCCUAAUUCUCCAUGUCUCCUUUCUGCAACCUCCACUCUUCUUUCUUCUUCGUUUAAUGGCGAUGAUGCGAGUGUUAUGGUGAGGUGCGGUGGUUUGAGGUUCAAAUCGCGGUGGCUUAAUGGACUCGCGAUGAAAGGACGGUAUCUCCUGAGAUAAUGGUUUACGGUGGUCCUAGAUCAAUAAUUUAUUGUCGCGGUGGCUCACGGUGGUUCCGAAUCGAAGGUGAUUUUUUAUUUUAACGACUAUCCAAUGCUUCAGAAUAUGUAUGUUAGAUGUAUGUGUCUCAUUUUGAUAUGUAGGUUAUCCUGCGUGUAUUUUACUUGUAAUUAUAUAAUGAAAAUGAUAGUUGCCUUACCUGAAUGUGUUCAUACUUACACGUUGAUGUUAUCGAAUCCUUGUUGAGUUCCUGCCUUUUGUUCUUCGGCUCCUGCCUCUGUGUAUACUGGGACUAUUGUGUAUCUGCCCAAUUUUUCUCUUCUUCUCUGUGUUAAUCUCCUGGUUACUUCUGCCUUUCUCUUUCUGAUUUUAUGUGUGUUGUAAUCUCUGAGUGUAUGCUCCUUGCUGUACGAUAUGUAUGCUGCCACCUUCUCGGUUUAUGAUGCUUUGUGAAACGUGACUCUAUUUUUUCAGAUUGCUUUUGCUUGAUUGUAUGGAAGUUGAUCUUUGGUUAUGGUCGUGUGAAUAGAUGUGUUAUAACUAUGGUCUUGUUCCCCCUCUGAUGCCUCUAUAGUGGUGUUUUUAUAGCUGGUUGUUUGCUUUAUGUGAGCCUUUUGAACUGCCAAAAAUGUGUAACAUACUGCAAUUGUUGAUUCUCUGAUUCAAUGCAUUGAAGCUGCCAAUAAAAUUGCCAUAAUACCACAUCUGUUUUCGUUUGGGAUUCUUUUUGUAAUCAAUGGCUCUUUCUCUAUAGAUUAGUCUCAUAAGUGCU
rnacentral:lncRNA from 1 species